rnacentral:lncRNA from 1 species
UCUCACCACACACCAUCGAACCCCAAACCAUAAAAACAGAGGAAGAAACCAGAAAGAAAAAUAGGAAAUCAAAUACUCACACACCUGAACCAGCAGAAGGAAGAAAAAAUCAAGGCCCGAACAAAUCGUUGCUUCCGUAUCUGCCCUAUUCACUCAAAAGGUCGACAACAAGAAGUUGAUAACAUCGAUUAAGGUAUAUUUCAUAGCACUUUUAAAAAUUGAGAAUAUAUGAUCUUCGAUGUGAGUGUAUUUAGUUUCUAAUUCUAAAAAUUGUGACUGUAUUUAUCAUAUUGCUCUACUUGUUUAUCCUCUCCAAAAAGUAUGAAAAAAUCGGUGAGAUUUCUUGUUCUUGUUAACCAUUGUUGUGAAGUUUGUGUUGAAAGAAGAGUGAUGGGGACUGAUGAAUUAAUGACAUGUAUGUAUUUUCUUUGUAUUAACUAAAUUGUUGCUGCUUUAAUUCAUGCCACACGAUGACAAAUGUACUGUCCGUUUCAAUUGAGGCUGCUUGGUUUUUUUAUUCCCAUUGUGGGGAUGGAGUGGGAUGGGGAGGGGGUGGCGGGUGGGGGUAGGUUAUCAAAUAAGGCAGUAAAUUAUGUGGGGAAUAGAGAUGUUGAAGAGAGAUGCCAAAGCUUUGUUGAAACUAAUAGUUAACGUCAAAGACAUAGUGACAGAAAUAAAUAAUCCAAGAAUUAUUUUAUGUUGUGUGUACCGCACAUUCUGGAAUAGUAUGAGAUGAAUAAAACUAGCAAGUGCCAUAGCCUAAUCUACUUAAUACAGGAAAUAUGGAUAGAUAACUUAAAUAAAGCUAAUGAUAGGCCUAAUAUAUUCAUAACUAAUUAGCACCUACAAAGCUUUUCAUUUAGAGGAAUAAUGGUAGAUUUUUCAGGCGAAUUUAACUAUCACGUAGGUAAAAUUUAGAGUUUGAGAUGAAUCUUGUCAAGUCUUGUCAAGGGGUGGCAUACAAUAAGGAGAUAUUUGAUUCUCUACACUAGACAAGGCAAUUUGUUCGAGUUUUUAUUUCUUACCUCUCUUUCGAGUUUUUAUUUCUUAGCUCUCUUUAAAUGUGAAGUUGUCAAAAAACUGUAACAUAAUGAUGAUCAAUUAUAACUUUUGAGUAGGUCCAUCAUCUAAACACAGAUUACAAUGGAAAAUAUAACUGUGAAAACAUGCCCACGAAGGGGUAUUGUACACAUGAUACAUCAUGAACUGCCUUAGUCUAGAUAGUUUAUACGACGAUGUAGCCUUGCCUUUUAAACUCAUGGGAAUGUGUUUUCCUUGCUAAUCUUUUUUAAUACCCAACAGCUAAACUGACCUGAAAUGAGUGUGCUAUAAUUGAACAUAAGAACAUAAGUGUAUUUGACCCACUGGAUGGUAGCUUAUCAUGAAGUGACUUCUUAUGAGUCAUGCAUAAUUAACACAAAGGAUUGAAUGUGUCUUCCAGGGAGCCUUUUCUUAGUUCCUCUGAUUGGCUCUAUCGUGAAUGUACUGAAUAAAUAUCGAAACCCCUAUUCCCUAUUCCUGGUAUGUUAAUAUAUAGAUCUGAAAAAGUUCCUUUUUUCAGAUGAAAAUUUGAAUGAAGUUGACGAUCAAAACGAGGAUAGAGAUCCAAGCCCAAUCCAAGCUCCUAAGCGUAACGUUGACGGAGGAACUAACAAAAUUCGACGACAACGACGUAGCCAACCUAGUGAUGAGAGUCUCAUAGCCCUGUCUAGCAUUGCUGAAUCGUCAAAAAAAAUUGCUAAUGCUAUGGAGAUUCAAGCAAUGUUAGAUACGCUAAAUCACAUCAAUUGACAAUUGGUUCUACAAAAAUUAUAAAGCAUGAACAUUGAGAAGCGUGACAUAAUGCAAGUCAUGAAAGUAUUUCGAUCGGACGUGAGUCUGGCUAAAGUAUUCAUGAGCUUGACUGAUGAAGAAUUCAUGUGUGAUUUGAUCUUUGAGAAUAUUGGCCGUGAUCCGCCUCCACUACUUUAAGAUGACAUGAUUGGAUAAUUCAACAAACAUAUGUAAAAGUAUGAUAUCCAUGUUAGUUUGGAUUGCUACUCACUUUUAAUAGAGAUUUUUUUGUUUUUCAAUUUUACUUUUUGUUCUUCUGUUCUAUGUUGGACAUAAGGUUCUCAUUGUUUAUUUGAUUAUCUCAUAACUAUUUUUUAUUGGAAUGCAAAGAAUUAAUUCUCAUACAUGAGUAUAAAUUUGAAUUGGUGAGUUUGUUUUCCUCAUUGUUAUAAAUUUUAUUUUUUUCGAUAACAUUAUCUUCAAAAUACGACUUCUUCAAAAAAAAAAAAAAAAAAACAUAAUAAGAGAUAUUACUCAAUAUAUUUAAUUGUGAAGGGACCUAAGUAAAACAUUGACUGACUAAUUGUCAUGGAAAAAAUUACA